rnacentral:rRNA from 1 species
GAUGAACGCUGGCGGCGUGCCUAAUACAUGCAAGUCGAGCGAACGGACGAGAAGCUUUCUUCUCUGAUGUUAGCGGCGGACGGGUGAGUAACACGUGGAUAACCUACCUAUAACACUGGGAUGACUUCCGGAAACCGGAUCGAAUACAUAAUACUAGUUUUAAUCGGAUGGUUCAAAAGUGAAAUACGGUCUUGCUGUCACUUAUAGAUGGAUCCGGUCUGCUUUAGUUAGUUGGUAGGUUAAGGGCUUACAAGGCAACGAUGCAUAGACGACCUGAGAGGGUGAUCAGCCACACUGGAACUGAGACAAGGUCCAGACUACUACGGGAGGCAGGAGUAGGGAAUCUUACGCAAUGGGAGAAAGCCUGACGGAGAACAGCCGCGUGAGUGAUGAAGGUCUUCGGAUCGUAAAACUAUGUUAUUAGGGAAGAACAUUUGUGUAAGUAACUGUGCACAUAUUGACGGUACCUAAUCAGAAAGCCCCGGCUAACUACGUG